UACAGAGGGUGCUAACGUUGCUCGGAUUCACUGGGCGUAAAGGGCACGUAGGUGGUCCGGUAACUCAGUCGUGGAAUCCCGCCGCUCACCGGUGGAAUUGCGACUGAAAAUGCCAGACUUGAGCGCAGGAGGGGUGAGGGGAACUCUAGGUGGAGCGGUGAAAUGCGUAGAUAUCUAGAGGAACGCCGGAGGCGAAAGCGCCUCACUGGCCUGCUGCUGACACUGAGGUGCGAAAGCCAGGGGAGCAAACGGG
rnacentral:rRNA from 1 species